rnacentral:rRNA from 1 species
AACGUAGGAGACAAACGUUAUCCGGAGUUACUGGGCGUAAAGGGCGUGUAGGUGGUUUCGUAAGUCUGGCGUGAAAUUUUUCGGCUUAACCGGGAAAGGUCGUCGGAUACUGCGGAACUAGAGGACGGUAGAGGCGUGUGGAAUUCCGGGUGUAGUGGUGAAAUGCGUAGGGAUCCGGAGGAACACCAGUGGCGAAGGCGACACGCUGGGCCGUACCUGACACUGAUGCGCGACAGCAUGGGGAGCAAACAGG